rnacentral:piRNA from 1 species
UAGGGUGUUAGCAAGGCACAGUCUCUGAC